rnacentral:rRNA from 1 species
AUUGAACGCUGGCGGCAGGCCUAACACAUGCAAGUCGAGCGGAUGAAGGGAGCUUGCGCCUGGAGUCAGAGGCGGAAGGGUGAGUAAUGCCUAGGAAUCUGCUGGGCAGUAGGGGGUAACGUCCGGAAGCGGGCGCUAAUACCGCAUACGUCCUGAGGGAGAAGGUGGGUGAUGUUUGGAUUCGGCGGUUGGGGCUGAGUCUACGGCUGAUUAGCUAGUUGGUGGGGUAGAGGCUUACCAAGGCUUUGAUCGGUAGCCGGCCUGAGAGGGUGACCGGCCACAUUGGGACUGAGAUACGGCCCAGACUCCUACGGGAGGCAGCAGUGGGGAAUAUUGCACAAUGGGCGGAAGCCUGAUGCAGCAACGCCGCGUGCGGGAUGACGGCCUUCGGGUUGUAAACCGCUUUCGCCUGUGACGAAGCGUGAGUGACGGUAAUGGGUAAAGAAGCACCGGCUAACUACGUG